rnacentral:rRNA from 1 species
GCAGCGAAACGCGAUAGUUAAUGUGAAUUGUAGAAUUCAGUGAAUCAUCGAGUCUUUGAACGCACAUUGCGCCCAUUGGUAUUCCUUUGGGCAUGUCUGUUUGAGCGUCAUUACAACCCCUCAGCUAACGCUGGUUUUGAACCGGGACAGGUUGACACCCGCACCGGUUUUAAAGUUGUAAGCUCUGCUGGCUGCUCUGCCCCAACCGGAACAUAGUAAUCCAAAACUACUUGUUAAGGCGAGGCGAAGCGGUACGGCCUGAACAAAACCUACCCAUUUCUAAGGUUUGACCUCAGAUCAGACAAGGAUACCCGCUGAACUUAAGCAUAUCAACAAGCGGAGGAAAAGAAACCAACAGGGAUUGCCUCAGUAACGGCGAGUGAAGCGGCAACAGCUCAAAUUUGAAAUCUGGAGCCUUCGGCUUCCGAGUUGUAAUUUGAAGAGGAUGUUUCGGUGCGGCCUGGGCCUAAGUUCCUUGGAACAGGACGUCAUGGAGGGUGAGAAUCCCGUACAUGGCUGCAGGCUUGCUUCUAUG